rnacentral:tRNA from 1 species
GCUCACAUAGUUUAAUUAAAAACAAUAAAUUGUGGCUUUAUUAAUGCUUCUCGCUGUGAGCU